rnacentral:rRNA from 1 species
AUUGAACGCUGGCGGCAGGCCUAACACAUGCAAGUCGAACGAGUGGCGGACGGGAGAGUAAUGUCUGGGACCCUGCCUGAUGGAGGGGGAUAACUACUGGAAACGGUAACUACUACCGCAUACAAUCAGAUGUGCCCAGUUGGGAUGAGCUUGUUGGUGGGGUAACGGGGCACCAAGGCGACGGUCCCGUGCUGGUCUGAGAGGAUGACCGGCCACAGUGGAACUGAGACCCGGUCCAGACUCCAACGGGAGACAGCAGUGGGGAAUAUGGGAGAAAGGGCGAAAGAAUGAUGCAGAAAGGCCGCGUGUAUGAAGAAGGAAGGCGGGUUGUAAAGUAAUUUCCGCGGGAAGGCGUUACCCGCAGAAGAAGCACCGGCUAACUCCGUGCCAGCAGCCGCGGUAAUAC